AGGCUUUGGAGUGCAAAGUCUUGAAAAUGUUUUGUGCAUCUGAUGUGAUUUCUUUUCUAGGCUAAAGUCCUCCGUGAGACUAAAGCCAUCCCAAAUCUCAUUUUCAACAUUGAACAGUAUGAGAAGUUUCUCAUUCUUCUCUCCAAGAAAUCCAAGGUCAAUCUGAUGCAGUACAUGAAACUGAGCACUUCCAGAGACUUCAGAAUCAAUGCUGCCACAUUGGAAGCCGCACUGCAGGAACAGGAACAGCAGCGGGAUCAAAGCCAACAGACUGAAGAUGCUCAGGUUUCCGAGGAAAAUCAAGCACCAAAGAAAAAGAGGAGGAAGCAGUGAAAA